rnacentral:rRNA from 1 species
GACGUAGGGUCCGAGCGUUGUCCGGAGUUACUGGGCGUAAAGGGCGCGUAGGCGGCUUGGUGCGUCCCACGUGAAAGCCCCUGGCUUAACCAGGGAGGGUCGUGGGAGACGGCGAAGCUGGAGGCAGAGAGAGGCUGGUGGAAUUCCCGGAGUAGUGGUGAAAUGCGUAGAUAUCGGGAGGAACACCGGUGGCGAAGGCGGCCAGCUGGCUCUGGCCUGACGCUGAGGCGCGAAGGCGUGGGGAGCGAACGGGAUUAGAUACCCCGGUAGUCCACGCAGUAAACGAUGUGGACGAGGUGUGGGGGGAGUUGACCCCCUCCGUGCCGGCGCAAACGCAGUAAGUCCACCGCCUGGGGAGUACGGCCGCAAGGCUAAA